rnacentral:rRNA from 1 species
AGAUUCCCUAGUAGCGGCGAGCGAAGCGGGAAGAGCUCAAAUUUAUAAUCUGGCACCUUCGGUGUCCGAGUUGUAAUCUCUAGAAAUGUUUUCCGCGUUGGACCGCACACAAGUCUGUUGGAAUACAGCGGCAUAGUGGUGAGACCCCCGUAUAUGGUGCGGACGCCCAGCGCUUUGUGAUACAUUUUCGAAGAGUCGAGUUGUUUGGGAAUU